AGCGAGGUAGAGAUUUUGGUCAACUCAUCAGGCUCAUGAUCUGAGAAUUACAAGUUUGAAUCCUGUCCCCGCCU
rnacentral:tRNA from 1 species